rnacentral:rRNA from 1 species
AGUGAACGCUGGCGGUAGGCCUAACACAUGCAAGUCGAACGGCAGCACAGUAAGAGCUUGCUCUUACGGGUGGCGAGUGGCGGACGGGUGAGGAAUACAUCGGAAUCUACUUUUUCGUGGGGGAUAACGUAGGGAAACUUACGCUAAUACCGCAUACGACCUACGGGUGAAAGCAGGGGAUCUUCGGACCUUGCGCGAUUGAAUGAGCCGAUGUCGGAUUAGCUAGUUGGCGAGGUAAAGGCCCACCAAGGCGACGAUCCGUAGCUGGUCUGAGAGGAUGAUCAGCCACACUGGAACUGAGACACGGUCCAGACUCCUACGGGAGGCAGCAGUGGGGAAUAUUGGACAAUGGGCGCAAGCCUGAUCCAGCCAUACCGCGUGAGUGAAGAAGGCCUUCGGGUUGUAAAACCCUUUUGUUGGGAAAGAAAAGCAGCAGGUUAAUACCCCGCUGUUCUGACGGUACCCAAAGAAUAAGCACCGGCUAACUUCGUG